AUUUUUUUUUCUUGAAUGUGUGGUUAGGUUCAGUGUGUUUUUAAACCUAACCACACAUUCAAGAAAAAAAA
rnacentral:pre_miRNA from 1 species